AGAGUUUGAUCCUGGCUCAGAAUCAACGCUGGCGGCGUGCCUAACACAUGCAAGUCGAACGCGAAAGUCCCGAAAGGGAUAAGUAGAGUGGCAAACGGGUGAGUAACACGUGGGUGACCUGCCUUCGAGCGGGGGAUAACGUCCCGAAAGGGACGCUAAUACCGCAUAACAUCCUGCCUUUGAAGAGGCGGUGAUCAAAGCUGGGGAUCGCAAGACCUAGCACUUGAAGAGGGGCCCGCGUCCGAUUAGCUAGUUGGUGGGGUAAUGGCUCACCAAGGCAACGAUCGGUAGCCGGCCUGAGAGGGCGGGCGGCCACACUGGGACUGAGACACGGCCCAGACUCNUACGGGAGGCAGCAGUGGGGAAUUGUUCGCAAUGGGCGCAAGCCUGANGACGCAACGCCGCGUGGAGGAUGAAGACCUUCGGGUCGUAAACUCCUUUCGAUCGAGAAGAAUUNCNUCCGGGGUGAAUAAUCGUCGAGGUUGACGGU
rnacentral:rRNA from 1 species